rnacentral:misc_RNA from 1 species
UGCGGCUGGAUCCCCUCCUUUCUAGGGAGACUACUGACGGCUCAUUUGAUGAGUUCUGUCGGUUAUCCCGAGGUUAAUGCCUCUAUAUGAGGUCCUUGAUUUAUUUUUUUUCAAUCUCCUUUUCCUGUCACUCUUCAGUCGUUAAGGCUGAGGUAGCACCUUAAAAACUGAAUAGAACGAGUGUAGUUCGAUGAACCAAAGGUAAACACGUGUGAUUAAGCUACGAAGGGUGCACGGAGGAUGCCUUGGCGUCAAGAGCCGACGAAGGACGUGGUUGACUGCGAAAAGCUCCGGGGAACCGUCAGCAGGUGUUAUAGCCGGAGAUGUCCGAAUGGGGAAACCCGG